GCCGUGAGUGCUAUAUUCGGGGUCAACUAUUAAGUACCUUCGACUUCCUGAUGAAGUGAUUGAUUUGGUAAAGGAAGAGGUGAUAGCAAGAGGACGAGGUAGAGGUGAAAGUAGAGGUCGUGGUGGUCCAGGAAGAGGACGUGGAGGUCCUGGUAGAGGUGGUUUUGGAGGCCGUGGACGUGGUGGCCCACCUGGGGGAGGACGUGGAGGCCCAGGACGUGGAGGCAUGAA